UUUCCGUAGUUGAACCUGCGGAAGGAUCAUUAUUGUAUAACCGAGGUGCGAGGGCCGUCGCUGACCCGAAAGGUCGUGCACGCCCUAGUGCCCUCACACACAUCCAUCUCACCCCUAUGUGCACCACCGCGUGGGUCCCCCUUUGGCUUGUUCGUAGGGGGGCUUACGUUUUCACACAAACUUUGUAUGCAGUGUAUAAUGUAUUUUUUGUUUUUGCGAUCACGCAAUCAAUACAACUCUCAACAACGGAUCUCUUGGCUCUC
rnacentral:misc_RNA from 1 species